rnacentral:rRNA from 1 species
UACGAAGGGGGCUAGCGUUGCUCGGAAUUACUGGGCGUAAAGGGCGCGUAGGCGGACAGUUAAGUCAGGGGUGAAAGCCCAGGGCUCAACCCUGGAAUUGCCUUUGAUACUGAUUGUCUUGAGUAUGGGAGAGGUAUGCGGAACUCCGAGUGUAGAGGUGAAAUUCGUAGAUAUUCGGAAGAACACCAGUGGCGAAGGCGGCUCUCUGGGACGGUACUGACGCUGAGACGCGAAAGCGUGGGGAGCGAACAGG